CUGAAUUUGAAGUGUGAAGCCGUUUAGUGGAUAACUUGGCUCAGGUUCCGAUGAAGGACGUGGCAAGCUGCGAUAAGCCUUGGCGAGACGCAUGCAGUCAUUAAACCAGGGAUGUCUGAAUUUUUCACGUAAGUGAAAGGGAACACAGGGAAAUGAAAUAUCUUAGUACCUGUAGGAAAAGAAAUCAAUCGAGAUAAUGUUAUUAGGGUCGACCGAACACAUUAGAGAACAAACUGAAUCCGUUUGCGUAAGUAAAUGGAGAUGUGGUGUGAUAGAACUAUCUUACAACCAAGAAUGCGAGUUGAAGUGAACUGGAAUGUUCUUCCAAAGAGAGUGAGAGACUCGUAAGCAAAGCAUUAUUGGUUGAUUGGUGGAGUUCAAGAGUAUUGCGCAUUGGAUUUUGCGUAAGAAAUCGCGGGUCAUUAACCCGCAAUCCUAAAUAUUACCUGAGACCGAUAGCAAACUAGUACCAUAAGGGAAAGUUGAAAAGCACCCUUAACAGGGGAUGAAAAGCACUUGAAACUAAACGGUCAUUGGCGGAUAAGGCUCAAAAGAAACGAGAACUUGAGAAGGAAGUAACUGCAAAGUUAUUGUACGAUUGAGUUUGAUCAGGGUCUUAUCGUCCGUCCAGAAGCACGCGCGAGGGAGUUAUUUUAUGUGGCAAGACUAAAUGCUUUAACGCAUGCAGUCGAAGGGAAACCAAGACAACGCAAUUCGCAAGAAUGAGGUUGUGGGUUUUAAAUAGCUUAAGUCACAUGGAUUAGACCCGAAUCCCGGAGAUCUAUUCCUGGGCAAGGUGAAGCCAUUCUUCCGAGUGGUGGAGGCCUGAUACAAGUGUUAGUCCUACUGCUUUGGUGACCUAGGAAUAGGAGUAAUAUGCCAUCCGAGCCGGGCGAUAGCGGGCUCCUUCCGAGUUAGCUCUUAGGCUAGCCUAGCCAGAGAAAGUUAGUGGGGUAGAGAUACUGAUUAGAAAGUAACGGUUCGAAAGUUCCGCCUUUUUUGUCAAACUCCCAAUCCAUUAUCAUCUAAGAAGGCUGGAGUAGGGGGCAGGGGGUAAGCUCCUGUUCCGAGAGGGAAACAACCCAGACAAUGGUUAAGGCCCUUAAAUGCUGAUUAAGUGUUAUCUCGAAAUGCGUCUUUUUCCUAAAACAAUUGGGAGGUUGGCUUAGAAGCAGCCAUCCUUUAAAGAAUGCGUAAUAGCUCACCAAUCUAGGGGAAAGGCCAUGAAAAUAAUCAGGGCUAAAAUCAGCUGCCGAUACCAUUGGAUACAAAUUGUUUCAAUUUGUAAUUCGAUAGGAAGGUAAAGUGAGAGAGCAGAAGCUUGUCAGAAAUGACUAGUGGAUCUCUCAGUUAAAUGGAUCCUCGCGAAAGUAAUAUCUAAGAAGAGUGAGAAUCUCUUCCGCCGAAAGGGCCAGGGUUCCUUAGCGCUAAUCAUUAGCUAAGGGUUAGUCGGUCCUAAAAUCGCUCGUAAGACGACGCGAUUGAAAGGGAAACACGUUCAUAUUCGUGUACUUCGUGAAUACGUUUUUGGCAACAAUAGUUUGUUUGCUGACGUUUUGGGCUAAGUUUUGCACACUUGUCUGUGUGUUUAACUAACAUAAAUGAAUGGAGAAACGUAACGUUGAGAAAUUCAUUAAAGUUAGGAAUAGCUGAAAAGUAAGGCUGAGGCCUGGAGCCAGUGAAAAAGCAAACAAAAAGAAUUUCAUGAAUCCGUACCAAGAUCCGAGAAAAGUGCCCCUAGCUGAGAAGGCUCAGGCGUGUCAGGAAACUUUCGUUAAGGGAAUUCGGCAAGCUAGCCCUGUAUCUUAGGUAUAAGGGGUGCCUGAAGCUGCAUAAGUUUCAGGUUGCAAUAACAAGUGGAGUCCGACUGUUUAUCAAAAACACAGCUCACUGCAACCCAGCAAUGGUUAGUAUAGUGAGUGACUUCUGCUCACUGCCAGUACGUGAAACUCGAGUUCAAUUGAGCUAAGCGCUGGUGAAGAGCGGGCCUAACUCUGAGGCUCUCACGGUAGCGUAAUACCUUGUCGGUUGAAUGCCGACUUGCACCAAGGAAGUAACGUGAUUCCAAGUGUCCCUAACGAGAACCUGAUGAAAUCGGUGCGCGGUGAAUAUUCCGCGGACUUCCAACGGGAUGAGAAGACCCCACGGAUGUUUACUACAGUCUGAUGCUGUGAUAUGAUUCUUGAUGUGCAGCGUAGAUAGGAGGCGUCGAAGCAACCCAGCAAUGGGUUGUGGAGCCAUCAAUGCAACACUAUCCUUUGAGAAUUAUAUUACUUACCUUUAUUGGGACACCAUUAGAUGGGUAGUUAGACUGGGGUGGUACACCCCUGAAAAGAUAUCAGGGGUGUCCAAAGGUGUGCUCAAGAGGGUCAGAAAUCCUCUGUAGAGAACAAAAUCAAAAGCACGCUUGACUAUGUUCUACAAAGCAAGGAACGUAGAAAGGAAACUUGGGUUUAGCGAACAUCAAUGAGUCCUUUAAUGGGACCUUGGUCUAACAGUGAACUUACCCUGGGGGUAACUGAGUCGUCGCGGGUGAGAGUUCACAUCGACCUCGCGGUUUGCUACCUCGCCGUCGUCUCUUGGUAUCCUGGUCGUGCAUAAGCGACCAAGGGUGAAGGUGUUAACUUAUUAAAACCGAACGUUAGUUGGGUUAAGAACGGUGCGAGCCAGUUUGGUUACUAUCUGUUGGAAGUGCAGUUUGCUUGAGGGGAAGAUCCGCUGAGUACGAGAGGAACGGCGGGUCGCAGCCACUAGUUUACCAGUUGUCUGACAAGGCAUUGCUGGGUAGCCACGCUGUAGCUUAUAAGAGCUGAAAGCAUCUAAGCUCGAAGAAGUCCCUAAAAAAAAGCAAACAUUGCUGACACACUGCUUUCUCCGGAUUGCAGUGAAUAGGCACAAGACUACCAGUAGAAUACUGGAUUGAUAGGUUGCAAGUGUAAGCUAAAAGCUUUCUGCGAUUAGUUCAGCUUAGCAAUACUAAAAAGUCAAGACCAAAAAAUU
rnacentral:rRNA from 1 species